GCAAUGUCUCCUUUGUUUUAUUGUUGGUAUAUAAACUUAAAAUCUCAGUUCUUUUUAUGGCACUUGUGGAGCCACUUCCUCUCCUCACCAAAAAAUGCCCAGUACCCUGAAUCCGAUCAAAUUACUCUCCUAAAGUAUAAGGCUUAGUUUCUGUGUGCUGCUUCGCGAGACAGUUCCCACAAAUCGAGAGUGUUAAUCAGACUUUUGUGUUUUCUUUUUUGGAUUGCUGUUGUUUGUUUUCAUUUAUCAUUUGUCUUUGCCUAAGCCAGGCUCAUCAAGAAUUAACAGCCAUCAGGCUGCCGAUGUGCUGACAGCAGACCCACUUAGAGUCCUGUGUUUGUAAUUCCAUGCAUUUGUUAUUUUACCUGUUUUGUCCCUGCCCCUUCUAGUCCUGUGCCUCCUGAUUGCUGAGUGUUCACCUGGACCUUCUGACUACCUUCCCUGUGCUAUUCCAUCAGCCUACAGACCUGGUACCUGGAUUUUUGCCCGAGAUGAUUCCUACCACCUUACUACUGACGAAGACACCCAUUCCAGUGGACCACUGUGACCCAGGAGGCAUUCAGCCAUCAUGAUGUGGCCUUUACCUCCACUCCUGUCUUGUUCUACCCAGAUUCAGCACAGCCCUUUAUAGUGAAGUCAGAGUCCUCAAGCCAAAUAGCUAAAGCUGUUUUAUCACAACAAAGGCCUAGUUUGUUCCAUGAGUGUGCAUUUCAUUUCUUCAGUUAAAGCCUUCAGAGACACACAAUAAAUUUGGACCAGGGGAUUUUUUAGUUAUUAAUGCUCUCUGAAGAAAGGCAACAUCUUUUUGAGAGCAGCAUUGGACCACACCCCACAAUCUCAAAUGAUUGAAAUUCAUGAACAUCUAGGAUCCCGUGAAGGUCACUGGACCCUGUUUUUUCUACUUCAAAUCCUGUAGUAGCCUACUGAAUGAGAAAACAUAUUCUGACCCAUUGGGAUCAAAUCAAAGGCACAGUGAACUCCUCAUAGCAUCUUCUUUGGAAUUACUCAGGAACCAGAACUUUUUACACAAAUGUAAGAAAUUCUACCAAGGAGUCCCCUUACCUAACAGCAUCUCACAAGGCUGCACCAGAUUCCAGAAAAGGCUUCUCUUGAUACAUCAAGGUAGAACCUCUAUGCAUUUUGUGACCGACUUAUUCUUAGAUCAUUGGUUUUCCAAAGGCUUUGUGGCCAUGAAGCCCUUUGAGUGAAAACUGUGCAGAAGCCCAGAGUAAAAGUGAAGCUGCUCUGGAUGAAGUAGUGAAGCAAGAGUAGGGGCCUGAAUCCUGCUACAACUAUCUUCCUUUACCACCGUGGUGACACCUAAGGGGACUUCCUUACAACACCUUGAACUCUUCCGAACACAGUUUGAAAACCACUGCCCCAGACAGCAAUAUGUUUGACCUGAAUGGCAUUCCAAUCUUUUCUGUACCUCCACUCAGCACAGUUCAUGUUCAGUAGAUGCUGAACAUUCUUAGAAAUACUGUGUGUGAACUUAGAAAAGUGCAAGAAGACAGGCAUGUCUUUGACCCCAGGAAUGAUCAUUUGCUGAAGAUGGUGUCAAGUGAACCUAGAUUAACAGCCCUCCACUCCAGAUGGAUAUCCAGUGAUUCCUAGAAUGGGAUAUAGCCAGAGAACAAUUCUAUGCACCCUACACUGACAGACUCCCUUAAGCAACACCAGAUGCUCUACUGGUACUUGAAGUACAUGACUUUGAAGUCUUGACCCUCCAUGAAUACCUGAAUUAUCAGCAAGCGGGUUUUGAAGCUGGUGCCUCAUUGAGGCCAUAUUAGAGCAACUUGUACAUUUGACCUCUUGUUAUCAGCCAUGGUACUCUACUUCGUGUGCAAGAGAUAACUAUGAAAGCCAAAUUCAAAUACUGGCAACAUUUCCUAAAGGGGCUCAAUAUCUAUCAUUCGUCUUCUUUUCCAAACUACACAUCACUGUAUGACUCAACCAGUAGCAGUUAUAUUGCCCCUUGGUUUUUAUUCAGUUUAACUACUGUUUCCAAGAUAAAUGAGCUAAUAAGCUUUAAAAAAAAAAAAAAAAAAGGCUGAAUUCUUUUUUCUUCAUCACUGGCAUAUCUGCCUAUUCUCCAGAAUUAUUAUGACUAUUCAGCUCACUUUAACAGUUGAACUUCAAGCGACAAUCUUUGAACACCCCUUCUCAUGUGAUUUAAAAUGAAACCAUUUGGAAAAGUUUCUUCUAGCCAGUAAUAGAUUUUUUUUUUAAUUGCUCUGCCUUGUGCCGAGAGAUGUUCUUUUAAGAUGAAUCUUUUGAUGUCUGAUACCACCAAAUAUAGGUGGUAGGGAGAGUUGGAGGCUGGCCCUUUGAGCAGGCCAUUAGCUUACUUGCUGGGCAUUUCCGAUAGCUUAUUGCCUACCUUUUUGCUGGAAACAAACUGAUUUGAAAAACAAAAUCUAUGAAGACUGCAGCUAAGGAUUUUAUCGGUAGACUUAAGAGCUUUUGUCCUUGUGGAUAUUUUAGUGGAACCACAUCAGUCUCAAUACUGUCAUUUUACACUGACUCAGAGCAGCUGACUUCAUUCCUUGCCAUGAUAUAUAUUUAAGGCAGGCAUUGUAACAGACAUAAAGACAACUUAUCUGUUUCAGCAGGAAGGAUUCAGUUUAUGAACUCUCAGACCAGAUCAUGUUGAACAAGGAGACUUUGAUGUGUGUCAUGAGAAAACUCAUUCUUUACUUCCCAGUCAAUUUAAAGGCCAGCUAUCCUGAGCUACUCGAAUGAAUGCACUGGUUAAACAUUGGAAAUAGUUUGUUUAUAUCCUUGUCUCUCUCUAGGCCAAUUGUGAUUACAUGACUCGACUCUACAUCUCGUCAAACAAGGCCUAGGUCUGGUUGCUGUAGACUGCUCGCCCUCAACAAAUAAAAUCUGGUUGACUAGCCUCCUUGUAUAUACAACUAUUAUUUGUUAAGAAGAAAUUAUCGUCAAUUUUCUACUACCUUCCAAUUGUCAGCUCUUUUUUUCCUCUCUGGUUUUUCCUAUACUUUACAGAAAAAGACAUUGAUCUAUACUGCCAUUCCCUCUAAUCCUGCCAUACUCAGUCAAAAGGAAUGACUUAAGAUGAAGAUGAUCAUCUGCUCGAGUCUAAAAUAUACAUUGUAUAUAAGAAUUGGUGAUUAGAAAAGCAAAAAACCUAAAACUUAAAUCUAGGAGUCUGUAUACUGUCUCCAUGUCUCCAUGCCUCAGAUCUCAUCUAAAUCUUUGAACAGCACCAUUCAACCAAUCUGAGGCCUUGACUUGCUUGUAAGAUGAUUCUCAGAGAUCGGCUGAGUUAAAAAAGAUGACGACUUGAUUACCAAAGAAAGUAGGGCCAACUUUGACAAAUCUGGCUCUGCUGACCCUGUCACUCCCAGAUGUAGCAUAGACUCCUAAACAGAACCUCAAGUCUGAUUGAGGAUAAGGCCUUCUCCUGAGCUGAAAGUUCUUUGGCAGAUGAGCAAGAAACUGAAAGCUGAUGUACCUGACUGGCUCUGUAAGAUCAGAAAACUGUAUCCAGAAUAAGCCCUAUGGAUUAACCCCUGAGUACCCAGAGUAAAAACUAAUUUACAGAACUUCCUUAUUGAUCUGCUGGUUCUUCCAGAUCAUAUUCUGGCUAUUGGUAUGGCUGGCCUUUCUGAAGGUACCCUGCUUGUCUAUUUUCCUGACUCAGCUCUUGCCUGCCUUUUUCACAUGUUGCUGCAAUUAGACUCACCGUGAGGACUACAGUCAAUUUCAGUCUAUCUUGUGCCCAAUACAACAAGGAUUUUUAAUAGUAACAACCCACACCUCACCCACUAGGACUCAAUGUUCACAACAGGAAGGACCAUUGCUGCAUACUCCUUGACCAGCAACUUUUUUGAAGAUAUUUUUAAGUGCAGAGUAGGCCUCUAUUCCUGUAUGUAAUUGUUCAUUUUCAGCACCUGGAACCUCAUCUAUCGGGUCUGGAAGGAAUACAGCAGUUCGAAAGCCGCGUCCAUUUCUCUCCUUCAGUAGUGCAGAAAUGAGUCCGAUUCACCAGUACACACAGAACUGUACCAGUUCAACCUAGCAAAAGAAGAAAAGUUUCCACUGUACUUAAAAUUUACAGCUGACUCAAAUUGCCUCACAGAAUUAUUUGAUGUAGAAGGCUAGUUGUCUUACUUCAGAUCAGCAGGACAGUUGGGCUCUCAGACUCAUGACCACUGAGUUUGCUUGUGUUGAAACUGUGGUUUCAUCCAACAUAUGCUAUUGGACAUGAUUAUUAUUCCAUUCAAAUGGAUUACAGACUUCUUGAGGACAGGACAAACUUAUCUCUCAUGGUGUUUUUUUAGAAUACUUUUAUAACCAAGGAAGAAACCAUGCCAGCUGUUACCAUUCAACUUCUUAAGCAGAGAUUAAGCUUUUUCAUAUCUGUUCUUAUCCUGGACAUCAGUAGUUUUUAAUUGCCCAGCAUCCGUUCCAUCUUGUAACAACUCCCUGAUGUUUCUUAAAACCACCUCUUCCUAUUUUCAGUCUGUGGUUUGGACAGUCUGACCCAACCUUGAGCUUUGUGGGUGAACAUGUAAUUCAGACCUCAUCAAUCAGCAAAUCCAUCUGAACUGUGGAGGAGAAGCUCUCUUUACUGAGGGUGCUUUAGCUUUGUAGGAUGAAAACCUCAAACUAACAGGGCCUACCAUGUAGAGAAUGAAGCCAGUGCAGGGGAAAGCAGAGCCAAAAUAUGGAGAGACUUGAAUCCUGAUGACAGCGUUUGUGCCCCUGGAUCCAACCGUGCCUGAAGCUAGAAUAUCCCCUGGACUUUUCAGUUAUGUGAACCAAUAAAUACCCUUUUUUGCUUAAGUUACUUUGAGUUGGGUUUCUGUUACUUGAAAUUGAAUCCACACUAAUAUAUCUACCAACAUUGAGACUUGACAGAUCCAAGUAUUUAUUAAGCUAGAGGUCAUGGUCACUGAAAUUACUUUCCAAAGUGGAAGACAAAAUGAAACAGGAACUGAGGGAAUAUUUAAGAUCCCACAGAAGCGUAAAAAUGACAUGGUAGAAAGUAAUAGAAAACCUAAAUGUCUGUCAUUAAAGGAUAGGUUAAGGUGUGGUUCAGCCAUAUAGGAAUAUCUCGUAUCUGUUAAAAUGAAUAAAGUACAUUCAUUGUGUAUGGAAAAAUGGCCAUGAUACAUUAGGUGAAACAAGUUAUUAAUAGAAAAGUGUACAGUGUGAACUCAUUUUAAAAUGUGUGUGCUUAUGUUUAUAAAUGCAUAGAAAGGUCUAUUCACAGCUUUCUUUGAACAGUGUAGAUCACAUGAAACUUUCAACUUUAUACAUUUCUGUAUUAAUAUUUUACACUACCCACAUUAUUUUUAAACUUUAUUUUAAAUAAAGAAUUUUUAAAAUUAAAUUUAGUGCUUACUGUUUGACCUUGGCAAGUUAUUCAACACUGAGCCUGUUUUAUCAAAUGAUUUA
rnacentral:lncRNA from 1 species